GCGGGCGUGGCGAAAUUGGCAGACGCGCCGGCUUUAGGUGCCGGUGGGCUUAGCUCAUGGGGGUUCGAGUCCCUCCGCCCGCA
rnacentral:tRNA from 1 species